rnacentral:tRNA from 1 species
GCCUUCGUGGUGUAGUGGUCAGCACACUUGACGUGUAACCGAGAGGUCCGUGGUUCGAAUCCUUGGCGAGGGCA